AUACGGAGGGUGCAAGCGUUAAUCGGAAUUACUGGGCGUAAAGCGCGCGUAGGCGGUUUGUUAAGUCGGAUGUGAAAGCCCCGGGCUUAACCUGGGAAUGCCAUUCGAUACUGCUUGGCUAGAGUAUGAUAGAGGAAAGUGGAAUUCCGCAUGUAGCGGUGAAAUGCGUAGAUAUGCGGAAGAACACCAACGGCGAAGGCAACUUUCUGGAUCAAUACUGACGCUGAGGAGCGAAAGCGUGGGGAGCAAACAGGAUUAGAAACCCCAGUAGUCC
rnacentral:rRNA from 1 species